AACGCAUAUUGCACUCUCUGGUAUCCCGGAGAGUAUGCCUGUUUCAGUAUCAUUGGUAACCCCGAAUUUUUGUUGAUCUGAAAUCAGGUAGGACUACCCGCUGAACUUAA
rnacentral:misc_RNA from 1 species